UGUCGGACAAAAUUUUAUGUUUGGACUUGGGUGAAUGUAAAUAGACUUAUACUCUCAGAUUUUAUCGUCGUUGAUGAUGUGAGGAGUUAUAAUGUGAUAAAGUAUAUAUGAUCUGGGGUCUUGUGUGUAGGAGCGAUGCAAAAUUAUAUAUGCUUAUGUAAUCAGACCAUGCUUUACUGUGGCUGUGAUAUAUGCUUCAUGACAAGUGGGGGUACUUCGGAUUCGGAACUGUUUGCCUCACAAUUUGUGCCCCGCGGUUGAGGCAAGUUCAUGAUGGGAUAAUGACUUGCAUAAUCCCUACACUCUAUUUUAUUUAUGAUAUUUGUCCAUGUUAAUGAUGUUUAUUGUGAUGGAGGUGACGAUGACAAAGACAUGUUGAUUCAAGUACUUUGCUUGCAUUUGCAUAUUUGCAUUCAUGAUGAUAGAGAAAGAAAGAGUACCCUACCUUGGGUAGGCACAUUGAGACCUCCAUUGUUGGGUUGUGUCCUACUUUGGAGGAAACCUCCACGCGCUGGAGUGAGUGGAAGUCGACGGGCGUCCACUCAAGCAAUACCGGUAUACGCAAUGAAAUGAGAUGAGCAUGUAGGCAUGUAGGACACCAAUACAUGCGUUCAGUGUUGUUGAGUGUAUGGUGUUAACAUAGAUUUAGUUCUUUCUUAUGAGUAUUGUUUAUUAUUCCUUUAUGAACCUGUUGAGUCCUUGUACUCACCCUUGUUGCUUACAUGUUUUUAGGUAAACCAUGAAGACACCAUACAUGAGAGUCGUGGGGUAGCAGUAUCACCAUCUUCACUACACGAAUAUCUCAUAUGUUAACUUCUAGCACCGUGCUUUGAGACCUUGUAUGGCUUAUACCUUACUUCACAUGGUGGAUUGUCUUGGAAUUCUAGAUUUACACUUUCGCUCUGUAUGGCUUAACUAAUUUCCACUAAGACUUACAUGAUCGCCUAGAGUUUCAAAGUGGCACCUGGUUAAUGUUGGUAUUGUAGCUUUGCGCUUUAUGCUUGUGUUUGGUUCCUUUUCAUACAUAAUCAUAUGAUCUAUGUGUCAUGGAUGUCCUUAGAUACACAGAAAGCUUUGUCGAAAUUUCCUUUUAGGGCAUGUUUCCUAUCCAAGGUCUUAUGUGGUAAUAUUCCAAGCGCCUUGUCAGCUUGGGGUGUUACAGUUGGUAUCAGAGCAGGCUUUAGGUCCUAGUGUAUCUAUAUAGGAUAAUUGCAUAACUUAGUUAUGAAUUUAGGAUUGAUUAAAAAAUUUACUAUAGGAUGAACAACAUUAGAACUGACACACUGGUGCACAAUAGGAUGGAUUGGGCCAUGCAUUGCAUUAUGCUUAAGUUAAUGUUUUUCUUUAAUUUUGGGAUACUUAUGUCGGCAUAUGAUCAUGACUUUUGCGUUGAUGAUUGACUAUGCUACUUAUAGCUAUGUGCUAUCUCUUGAGCUUGGGUUGGUUUUUCCCUUGAAGACGAAAGGGCGAGGCAGCAAAGUAGUGUAAGUAUUUCCCUUAGUUUUGAGAACUAAGGUAUCAAUCCAGUAGAAGACAACGCGACAAGCCACCAAAUACCAGCACAAACAAACACCAACUUGCAACCAACACGACAAAGGGGUUUUCAAUCCCUUCACGGUUAUUCGCAAAGUGAGAUCUGAUAGAGAUGGAUAAACGGUAAAGUAAUAUUUUUGGUAUUUUUAGUUUGUGGAACGGAAAGUAAAGAUUGCAAAAGAAAGUAAAUAGGAAACUAGAAUUGUAGAUUGGAAACUUAUAUGAUGGAAAAUAGACCCGGGGGCCAUAGGUUUCACUAGAGGCUUCUCUCAAGAAAGGAAUUAUUACGGCCGGUGAACAAAUUACAGCCGAGCAGUUGAUAGAAAAGCGCAAAGUUCUGACGAUAUCUAAGGCAAUGAUGAUGAAUAUAGGCAUCACGUCCGUGUCAAGUAGACCGAAACGAUUCUGCAUCUACUACUAUUACUCCACACAUCGACCGACUCCUGCCUGCAUCUAGAGUAUUAAGUUCAUAAGAAUAGAGUAACGCAUUAAGUAAGAUGACAUGAUGUAGCGGGAUUAACUCAAGCAAUAUGAUGAAAAUACCAUCUUGUUAUCCUCAAUGACAACAAUACUAUACGUGCCUUGCUACCCCUACUGUCACUACGAAAGGACACCGCAAGAUUGAACCCAAAGCUAAGCACUUCUCCCAUCGCAAGGAAAACCAAUCUAGUUGGCCAAACCAAAUCGAUAGUUCGAAGAGACUUUCAAAGAUAUCAAAUCAUGCAUAAAAGAUUUCAGAGGACAUUCAAAUAAUAUUCAAAGAUAAGCUGAUCAUAAAUUCAGAAUUCAUCGGAUCACGGCAAACACGCCGCAAAAGACUAUUACAUAGAAUAGAUCUCCAAGAAUAUUGAGGAGAACAUGGUAUUGAGAAUCAAAGAGAGAGAAAAAGCCAUCUAGCUACUAGCUAUGGACCCGUAGGUCUAUGGUAAACUACUCAUGCUUCAUCGGAGAGGUAAUGGUGUUGAUGUAGAAGCCCUCCGUGACCAAAUCCCCUUCUGGCAGGAUGGGGGAAAAGGCCCCAAAAUUGGAUCUCACGGGUACAGAAGGUCGCGGCAAUGGAAAAAUGGUUUUGUGGCUCUCCUGGAAGUUUUCAGGGUAUAAGAGUAUACAUAGGAGGAAGAUCUAGGUCAGAAGGCCACCGAGGGACCCACAAGGUUGGGGUGCGCGCCCCAACCCCUAGGUGCGCGCUCCACCCUUGUGGCCGCCUCGUGGCUCUUCCGACUUGCACUCAAAGUCUCUUGGGUGUCUUCUGGUCCAAGAAAGAUCAUUGCGAAGCUUUUAUUCCGUUUGGACUCCGUCUAGUAUUCCUUUUACGCGAAACUCUAAAAUAAGGAAAAAACAGAAACUGGCACUAGCAAUGGCCUCUAGGUUAAUAGGUUAGUCCCAAAAAUCAUAUAAAAUAGCAUGUUAAUGCAUAUAAAACAUCCAAAACAGAUAAUAUAAUAGCACGGAACAAUCAAAAAUUAUAGAUACGUUGGAGAUGUAUCCAGCAUCCCCAAGCUUAAUUCCCGCUCGUCCUCGAGUAGGUAAAUGAUAAAAACACAUUUUUUGAUGUGGAAUGCUACCUAACAUAUUUAUCGAUGUAAUUCUAUUUAUUGUGGCAUGAAUGUUCAGAUCUGUAAGAUUCAAAACAAAAGUUUAAUAUUGACAAAAAAAUAAUACUUCAAGCAUACUAACAAAUAAUUAUGUCUUCUCGAAAUAACAUGGCCAAAGAAAGCUUAUCCCUACAAAAUCAUUGAUGACCCACAAGUAUAGGGGAUCUAUCGUAAUCCUUUCGAUAAGUAAGAGUGUCGAACCCAACGAGGAGCAGAAGGACAUGAUAAGUGGUUUCCAGCAAGGUAUUCUCUGCAAGUACUGAAAUAAGUGGUAACAAAUAGUUUUGUGAUAGGAUAAUUUGUAACGAGCAACAAGUAACAAAAGUAAAUAAAGUGCAGCAAGGUGGCCCAAUCCUUUUGUAGCAAAGGACAAGCCUAGACAAACUCUAAUAUGAUGUAAAGCGCUCCCGAGGACACAUGGGAAUAUCGUCAAGCUAGUUUUCAUCACGCUCAUAUGAUUCGCGUCCGGUACUUUGAUAAUUUGGUAUGUGGGUGGACCGGUGCUUGGGUGCUGCCCUUACUUGGAAAAACAUACCACUUAUGAUUAACCUCUAUUGCAAGCAUCCGCAAAUACAACAAAAGUAUUAAGGUAAACCCGCCUUCUGUGCUAGAGAUAAGCCAAACCUAUGUGCUAAUGCUUCCGCUGUUAGGACAUCAGCGCAACAAUCAAUCUUCCAAUUUCCACCUACAAUAAAGUUUCCUUUGUCAUCCCUGAGGACAGCCCCCGCUGUGCCCUUUAGUAGAUCGUGAUUGAAGGCAGCAUCCACAUUCAAUUUAACGACGCCCCUAGGAGGUCAACUCCACCCUCCAAUCUUCCUAUUAGCAUUAGGGGAAUGGGCAUUUACAAAAUUUGUCGUCAUAGCACGAAUUCCCAUCGAGGUUCGACAUACCUCUUGAGACUUUCCCCCGUGAACCAGUUUACGUCUAUUCCACCAUAAAUACCACGCGGUUACAGCAAUCAGCUCUCGUGCGUUCCGUGAAUCCGACAAAGAAAACUCUUGUUGUGGUAUGAGGAAUAAUGAUUCAAGGACUGCCUCCCCUGCAUGAUCAACCGCACAAGCUUUUUUAACCGCUCCAUACAUCCCCAAAUUUUCCCACACUUCUUUUGCCUUCUGACACAGGAACAACACAUGCUUUGUAUCCUCUAGCCCAUUUCAACAUGAUGGGCAAUUGGGCAAAAAAUUUAUGUGUCUAUUGGCUAGGGUAAUAUGACACGGUAGUGUCCCAUGCAAUGUGUGCCAGAUAAAAAAAUCAGCUUCGCCGGACAAGCUAAUUUCCAAAUCUUGCCCCAAAUAGGAUUGACCCUACUUCUACCCAUUCCAUUUGUGUAUUCUAGUUUCUUUCCAUGUUGUUUAUUCCACUCCUCCAGAUAAGCAGAUAGUAUAGUGAACAAACCGUUUUUAGUAUAGCUCCAAGCAAUGAAGUCCUGCAUAUUAUUCAUAGGGAGAGGGAUCGCCAGGACUCUUCAAGCAUCAAUUGGCCAUAGUGUUUGUCUCACCAAAUCUUCAUCCCAACCAUUUGUGGUUGGGUCAAUAAGAUUAGACACUUUCGUCAGAAAUAUCCCUCGUCUAGGAGUAAUAAUUCUCCUAUUCGCACAAUUUGGGAUCCAAGCGUCUGUCCAAAUAUUAAUUUUUUUCUUGGUUCCAACUCUCUAUAUAUAACCAUUUCUGAGAGAGUCAACUCCCGCCGUAAUACUUUUCCAAGUAAAGGAGGAACCCUUUUUAAAUUUUGCGCUCAUCAGAUCACCCUCUGGGUAAUACUUGGCUCUUAGGAUUGUGGCACAUAACGAAUCAGGAUUAUGUAGGAGACGCCACACUUGUUUAGCUAACAAUGCGAGAUUAAAGCAGUGUAUAUCACGAAAUCCCAUCCCUCCUUGAUCUUUGGGAACACAUAUCUUCCACCAUGCCAUCCAAUGCAUCCUUUUAUGGUUGUCGUCGUCGCCCCACCAAAAUUGCGACAUCACGUCAAUGAUUUCUUUACAAUUUUUUCAGGAAUUUUAAAGACGGGCAUGGCAUAAGUUGGGAUAGCUUGAACAACAGAUUUUAGCAAAAUUUCCUUUCCACCGCAGACAACAGUUUUUCUUUCCAUCCACUAAUCUUCAUAAUAAUUUGGUCAAUCAGGAACUGAAAGCAAUCACUUUUGUCCAUCCCCACAUGGGCUGGUAGACCCAAAUAUUUGUCAUUGAGUGCCUCAGUCAUAAUAUUCAGAGUAGUACAAAUUUGCACCUUUUCUUCCACUUUUGUUUUGGGGCUGAAAAAUAUGCUAGACUUUUCAACACUCACCAUUUGACCCUAGGCGACACAAUAAGAUGCAGAACUUCUCUCAAAGCCUUCGCAUUUGUAUCAUUAGCUUGCAUGAGGAUCAAUGAAUCAUCCGCAAAGAGUAAGUUGGAAAUAAAAGGGGCAUCUCUGCUAACUUUUAUGCCGAAAAUACUAGUUGUUUCUUCUGUGUUUGCUAAAAGAGCAGUGAGGCCCUCUGUGCACAACAAAAACAAAUAGGGAGAGAGUGGAUCCCCUUGCCUUAGUCCUCUAGUAGGUUUGAAACUAUCAGUAUCAUCGGCAUUAAACCGUACUCUAUAUUCCACUGAGGAUACACACUGCAUGAUUAAGUUCACCCAAUUCUCUUUAAAACCCAAUUUCAAUAGAACUCCUCUUAAAAAUUAAAAAAAAGACCAUUUCACUCGGUCAUAAGCUUUAUGCAUGUCUAGUUUAAUGGCACACAACCCUUCUUUACCUGCCCUUUUCAUUCUUAUUUUAUGAAAACGCUCAUAUGCUAGUAAAAUAUUAUCUAUGAUCAAUCUCCCAGGAACAAAAGCACUUUGAGUUGGGCUGAUAAUAUCUGAAAGAAUUACCUUUAAUCGUGCAGCAAUCAUUUUUGAAAUAACCUUAUACACCACAUUGCACAAACUGAUUAGUCUAAAUUGAAUAAUCUUUUCUGGAGAAUUAACCUUUGGGAUCAUGACAAUUGUAGUGUAAUUCCAUCCUGCCGGUAUAGAACAUGUAUUCAACGCCUUGAGGACUUCUUCUGUCAGAUAUUCUCCCAACAUCUGCGCAAAAAAAGAUCUUCUCCCAACAUAGACCAAAAUCUCUUAUAAAAGAUAGCAUGCAGACCAUCCGGACCCGGUGCUUUUAAAUCACCAAUAUCAAAUAAGGCCUUCCGAACUUCCUCCGCUGUGUAUGGAGCCGUAAGACCAGUAUUCAUUUCAUUCGUGACUUUCCUUUCUACAAGAGAUAGAACCUCCGGGUUUGGGUGAGAGACUUCUGACAUAAAUAGAUUUGAAAAAUACCCUCUAAUGCAAUCCUUCAUCUCCGACUCUUCCACCCACGCCCCAUUAUCUCCAAGCAAUAUUUUUAUCUGAUUUCUUUUCUUUCUGGAUGUUGCCGCAUUGUGGAAAAAAGAGCUGUUCCGGUCCCCGUGUAAUAGACAAUUUGCACGACCACGCUGAAUCCAGUAAAUCAGCUCUUGUUCCAACAAAUUUUCAAUAAGAAAAAUAAUCUCCUUUUGUCGUGCUUGGGAAUCCACAUUCAUAGGUCCCCUACGUAGCUUUUUCAAUUCUAUUUUAAGUUUACCUAUUCUCUUUUUCGGUCCGUUCAGAGUCUCGUGAUCCCAAUUCUGCAAAUCUGCAUGUACCACUCAUGUACGAUCAGCGAGCGUAGGCCCAAUGCCCAUUUUCUUUGCCUUUUCCCAUGUUGUACGCACAAUCUCAACGGGUGUCUCCUCUCUAAGCCAUCUAGCUUCAAAUUGUUUCACUCGUCCCCUUGGAGGUUUAGAAAUAUUGGCGUCAAAGUAUUCAGCAUCCAAGAUGAUGGGACGAUGAUCGGAAUGAACAUGUUCCUCAUUUAUAACCGCAGCUCGGGGGAAUACAUUCGCCCAUUCCACAUUGCAAACCGCCAUGUCAAGUCUCUCUCUAGUGUCGCCUGUCCUCCAAGUGAAAGGAUCACUAAUACAUCCCAUAUCGUCGAGGCCGCACUCUCCUAAACAAUUACGGAAAUAUCUCAUCAUUGCAUUCGGUUUCGCAUUGCCACCUUCUUUUUCCGACGAGAGUAAAAUUUCAUUAAAAUCUCCUAAAACCACCCACGGGUGCUUGCCCUUACUAUGUAGGUUUCAGAGCUUAUCCCAGGAUAAACUACGCUCACUCCAAACCGGAUGACCAUAAAAGCCCGUGAACCACCAAUGCACGGAAUCAUCAUUUAGAAAAAAGAAUAUCAAUAAAAUUAGGCGACUCAUAGUUCGAAACCACUUUAUUCAUCUUAUGAUAGAACAAAACUAGGCCACGGGCCCGACCAUCACUCCCCACUACAAUAAUUGAAUCAAAAGAUAAAGAAUGACAUAGCUCAUCGGCUUUACAUUUAUUGAAGUGCGACUUAGAGAGAAAAAUCAAAUCCGCCAUGAUACUCCCUGAUACGUCUCCAACGUAUCUAUAAUUUUUUAUUGUUCCAUGCUAUUAUAUUAUCAACCUUGGAUGUUUCAUAUGCAUUUAUAUGCUAUUUUAUCUGAUUUUUUGGGACUAACCUAUUAAGCUAGAGCGAGUGCCAGUUUCUAUUUUUUCCUUGUUUUUGAGUAUCACAGAAAAGGAAAACCAAACGGAGUCCAAUUGACCUGAAACUUCACAGAACUUAUUUUUGGACCAGAAGAAGGCCAUGGAGUAAAAGAGUUGGGCCAGAAGAGUUUCGGGCUGCCCACGAGGGUGGGGGCGCGCCCACCCCCUGGGCGUGCCUCCCUACCUCGUGGAUAGCCCGAAGACCCCCCCUGACUUGUUCUUCACGCAAAACCUCUUAUAUGUACUAAAACCUCCAGAACAUAACCUAGAUCGGGAGUUCCGCCGCCAGAAGCCUCCGUAGCCACCGAAAACCAAUCUAGACCCGUUUCGGCAUCCUGCCGGAGGGGGGAAUCCCUCUCCAGUGGCCAUCUUAAUCAUCCCGGCACUCUCCAUGACGAGGAGGGAGUAGUUCACCCUGGGGGCUGAGGGUAUGUACCAGUAGCUAUGUGUUUGAUCCCUCUCUCUCAUGUUCUUGAUUCGGAACAAUCUUGUUGUAUCGCGAGAUUUUCUAUUAUAGUUGGAUCUUAUGAUGUUUCUCCCCCUCUACUCUCUUGUGAUAAAUUGAGUUUUCCCUUUGAAGUUAUCUUAUCGAAUUGAGUCUUGAAGGAUUUGAGAACACUUGAUGUAUGUCUUGCAUGUGCUUCUCUGUGGUGACAAUGGGAUAUCACGUGAUUCACUUGAUGUAUGUUUUGGUGAUCAACUUGCGAGUUCCAUGACCUCGUGAACUUAUGCAUAGGGGUUGGCACACAUUUUCGUCUUGACUCUCUGGUAGAAAAUUUAGGGCACUCUUUGAAGUUCUUUGUGUUGGUUGAAUAGAUGAAUCUGAGAUUGUGUGAUGGAUAUCGUAUAAUCAUAUCCAUGGAUACUUGAGGUGACAUUGUAGUAUCUAGGUGACAUUAGGGUUUUGGUUGAUUUGUGUCUUAAGGUGUUAUUCUAAUACGAACUCUAGGAUAGAUUGAAUGGAAAGAAUAGCUUCGUGUUAUUUUACUACGGACUCUUGAAUAGAUUGAUCAGAAAGAAUAACUUUGAGGUGGUUUCAUACCCUACAAUAAUCUCUUCGUUUGUUCUCUGCUAUUAGUGACUUUGGAGUGACUCUUUGUUGCAUGUUGAGGGAUACUUAUAUGAUCCAACUAUGUUAUUAUUGUUGAGAUAACUUGCACUAGUGAAAGUAUGAACCCUAGGCCUUGUUUCAACGCAUUGCAAUACCGUUUUCGCUCACUUUUAUCAUUAGUUACCUUGUUGUUUUUAUAUUUUCAGAUUACAAAAACCUAUAUCUACCAUCCAUAUUGCACUUGUUGUUGGAAAUAUGCCCUAGAGGCAAUAAUAAAAUGGUUAUUAUUGUAUUUCCUUGUUCAUGAUAAUUGUCUAUUGUUCAUGCUAUAAUUGUAUUAACCGGAAACAGUAAUACAUGUGUGAAUACAUAGACCACAACAUGUCCCUAGUAAGCCUCUAGUUGACUAGCUCGUUGAUCAAUAGAUGGUCAUGGUUUCCUGACCAUGGACAUUGGAUGUCAUGUAUAACGAGAUCACAUCAUUAGGAUAAUGAUGUGAUGGACAAGACCCAAUCCUAAGCCUAGCACAAGAUCGUAUAGUUCGUCUGCUAAAGCUUUUCUAAUGUCAAGUAUCAUUUCCUUAGACCAUGAUAUUGUGCAACUCCCGGAUACCGUAGGAAUGCUUUGGGUGUACCAAACGCCACAAUGUAACCAGGUGGCUAUAAAGGUGCACUACGGGUAUCUCCGAAAGUGUUAGUUGGGUUGGCACAAAUCGAGACUGGGAUUUGUCACUCCGCGUAAAAGGAGAGGUAUCUUUGGGCCCACUAGGUAGGACAUCAUCAUAAUGUGCACAAUGUGACCAAGGAGUUGAUCAUGGGAUGAUGUGUUACGGAACGAGUAAAGAGACUUGCCGGUAACGAGAUUGAACAAGGUAUCGGGAUACCGACGAUCGAAUCUUGGGCAAGUACUAUACCGGUAGACAAAGGGAAUUGUAUACGGGAUUGACUGAAUCCUUGACAUCAUGGUUCAUCCGAUGAGAUCAUCGUGGAACAUGUGGGAGCCAACAUGGGUAUCCAGAUCCCGCUGUUGGUUAUUGACCAGAGAGAUGUCUCGGUCAUGUCUGCAUUAUUCCCGAGCCCGUAGGGUCUACACACUUAAGGUUCGAUGACUCUAGGGUUAUAGGGAAAGUAUGUACGCGGUUACUGAAUGUUGUUUGGAGUCCCGGAUGAUAUCCCGGACGUCACGAGGAGUUCCAGAAUGGUCCGGAGGUGAAGAUUGAUAUAUUGGACGAAGGGUUUUGGAGUCCGGAAGUGUUCCGGAGGUACCGGGUGAUGACCAGCAUGACCGAAAGGUGUUUCGGGAGCCCCGACAAGUGUUGGGGGGCUUCAUGGGCCAAGGCAAGGGGGCAAACCAGCCCACUAAGGGGCUGUGCGCCCCCCUCACCUAUUCCCACGUGACCAGGGGGUUUGGGGCGCCCCAUCUAGGGUUCCCACCUCCUGGCUUGGGGGCCAAGUCACCGAAGGGGGAGAUCCCAUCUGCCCUGGCCGCCGCCCCCCCUCCCUAGGGGAAACCCUAGGGCACCUCCCCUUGCCCUUGCCCCUAUAUAUAGUGGAGGUUUUGGGGCUGCAUAACACACUAGUCUCUCUCUCCCAAGGCGCAACCCUACCUCUCUCCCUCCUCGUCUCUCGUAGUGCUUGGCGAAGCCCUGCUGGAGUACCGCGCUCCUCCACCACCACCACGUCAUCGUGAUGUUGCUGAACGGAGUCUUCCCCAACCUCUCCCUCUCUCCUUGCUGGAUCAAGGCAUGGGAGACGUCACCGGGCUGCACGUGUGUUGAACACGGAGGCGCCGUUGUUCGGCGCUUAGUUCGGAAUAGACCGCGAUAUGAAUCGCUACGAGUACGACUACCUCAUCCGUGUUCUAGUAAUGCUUCCGCUUAGAGAUCUACAAGGGUAUGUAGAUGCACUCCCCUUCCCCUCGUUGCUAGAUUACUCCAUAGAUUGAUCUUGGCGAUGCGUAGAAAAUUUUAAAUUUCUGCUACGACCCCCAACAUGUAUGACUUAUUUUAUUUGUAGAGUUGUGUUGUGAUAUCUUCCCGCGAGUCCCUGAUCUCGAUCGUACACGUUUGCGUGUAUGAUUAGUGUACGAUUGAAUCAGGGGCGUCACAAGUUGGUAUUAGAGCCGACUGCCUGUAGGAAUCCCCCUUCCACACUCCUUGGCCGAAGUCGAGUCUAGACAUUGCAAAACUUUUACUAACAUGGCAGUGUGUCUUAUGGGCUCAUGUCACCAUUGGGUGUUAUUAGGAUCUUUUACUCCUCGAUCUUUACUCCGGGAUUCUGAUCUCUCUUCUAUUCGGGUUAAAAGAUUUUGCUAACUCUAACUCUAUGUUCUUGUAAAUACUUUCUCUCGGAGAACCCCUCACUCCAGAUGGUCGCCUGUUGCACCAGAAGAUUCCGAAGAUACUCUUUGAUGUUAUCCUGAGAACUUGUGCUCAUUGCAUUUGCAAUUCCCUUCCACCGUCAAUCCCUAUAGAUAACUACAUGCCCUUGCCAUUCUUACAUUAGUCCCUAGUUGCUCUUGUUAUUACAAGAUACCCCGAGAUGCUCAUUGUUGUUCCGAGAAUCCUUGUGCCUACUGCCUUGCAGUUUCUUGUCACCUGAAUACUCCUACAAAUUAAUCCUCACACACACACCAAGGAUUUGUUUCUCCUUAGUUCAUGUGUUUCACCAAAGUCUUCGAAAUACUAUUUGAUCUUUUGAAAAUCCUCAACAGCCUAUUGGUCUUGAAAUUCUUGCUUGCUUGCAUUCUGGUUAAUCCAUAAGUAUAGUAAUCUUAUUGGCAUCCUUUGUCACUAUCAUUUUUGAGUCCAUUCAUUCAAUACGUUGCGAAUGCUCACAAUCAUCAGUCGAAUCCUAGGAUUAUCCUUCCGGCUAAGAUGUCAUUUGGGUAUGAGCUGGUUCAUGACCAAUCAAUGCCUUGAUCGGUUGUGCUUCCAAGUCUAUUGAACUUAUUCAUUUUCGAUCACGAAUUAUUUGCUUAUAAUCCCUUGAUUUGGAAAUCAUAAAUUUCGUUGCUUGUAGCUUUGAAUUAGUCAGUUGUUUCUAUAAUCAUAUCUCUAUGCAUUCUUCUUCCUUUGGUUGAGUACCGAUGCUCACCUCAGAUCCCUUGAGGACCAUCAGAUCCUUUGUUGGAUUUUCUCCAACAGUGUCCUUCAUAUUCCAUAACGUUGCGAGUCUUUCCGCGGAUAUAUGAUGCCUUUGGUAAAUUGUAUCCUCUGCUUCUCAACCAUGCUUUGCUUUCGAGCUGGUGGUAUUUACUAUUGAAGCUUGUGGUAUAUGUUUCCACGACACCCUGACGGGUAGAACCUAUGCUUUCCUUAAUAUGUGUGAAAUCAAAAGUUUUCACGAGUCAUACUCUUCUGGUAUUUUGCUAGAUGAAAUUUCAACACUACAACUUAUUCGAAAGUGAGAGGUGAAUGGAAGGUUAUACAUUGAAGAAGUGGUAGUCGACCUAUCAUUAAAGCUUCUCUUAAAUUAAUUAUUCCCUUGGUAUAAGUUCAUCUUAUAUUUAGGAUCCGACCUUUUGCAAUCGUGGUUUCGACCAUGUUCUCCUUUAAAUACCAUUUUUUGUGCAAGUUUAAGCACUUGUCUUUUGCAGAGCAAUACCCUAGUCGAACCUCUACUUUGAUCUAUCGUCGAGUAUUACCCCCUGGUAUCUCAAGAUUGUCAUGGAACCGCAUACCUUCUUAUGAGCUCUUCAUUAAGUACUACAUUCUGACAGUUUCCAAUUUUUCACGGGCUCUGAGUUAUUAAACUCUCAAAGACACUGAUAACUAUACCGAGUCCGCACUAUGGUUCAACAACUCUUAGUAAUCUUCUUUAUGCAUGAGUGUGUACUCGAUCACACUGUUCCUAGUCUGUUUGGCUAUAUCAUUGUCUUGAUGAUUUUAACCAUGCUACUUGGUCCUUAUUCCAGGGGCACCACUUUCGACGACGAGCUAAGCUUACGGUUUGGAGUCAAAGGAAAGUUAGUGCCACGAUUUGUGGGUCCAUACAGAGUCUUGGAACGUAUGGGUGAAGUUGUUUACAACUUGGAUUUACCUGAAGGUUUGUCAGGAGUUCAUGAUGUGUUUCACGUUUUUGCAAUUGAAGAAGUGACAUGCAGAGAUAGCUGAUAUUCCUCUGAGAGAUACGGUGCCCCUGGAAGCAAUUCAGUUGGAGAGUAACCUAAUUUAUGAGGAGAAACCCGUCAGGAUUCUAGAUUUCACCAACUGAGUCACUUGCAGUAAGGUCAUCAAGUUUUGCAAAGUUUAGUGGAGUCACCAUACCGAGGAGGAAGCCACUUGGGAACAAGAAGAAGACCUCCGAAAGGACCACCCACACCUUUUUGCUAGCCAACCCGACUCUCGACGGCGCUAUUCAUCUUAAGGGGGGUAGGUUUGUAACAUCCCAAAUUUCCAUUUGGAUGUUAUUUAGAUCAAUCAUAUGCACUCAUCAUUUGUGCAUAUUGGAAUUUGCUUUAUUUGAAAUUUUGAUCCAAGGGGUCUUAAACGACUCGAGGACAAAUAGAGAGAGUUGGAGGUUUCCCAAAACUCAUUUCUUUUUGAAUUUUUAAAACUUGGAAAUUUGGAUCAAAUUGAUUUACUCAAAAUUCUUUUCUAAUUAUUUGAAAUAAAUAAAAUAAAGAGAGAAGAUAAAAGGACUUCUUCAAAAACAACAAAGAAAUAUUGGAAAAUUAAAUUUUGAAUAAAAAUAUAUUUUAUUUGAUUUUAUUUGCAAGUUUAUUUAUUUUUAUUAGUACUAAAAAUAUUAUUUUUAUUUUAGGCAUCUAGGUCCAGACAAAUCUUCACCUAAGCCUAUUUAAUUAGGAGGGACUAUGUGAACUUUUCUGCAAUUUUUAAAAAUAUGUUUAUUAUGCUUUUUGUAUUUUUCGUAUCUCUGGAAAAAGGUUUUAAAAAAACUUUUGGACAGAACUGGGCAGAAGCCCAGCCAGCCCAGACGCCGCACCGCCUUCCUCCCGUGCGUGGCCUGGACUCGCCGGAGUCCGCCGGGCCAACGGCGCCGGCCGCCACUUCUCCAAGUCGGAGCACCCGCCACCUAUUUAAUGCAUCGUCCCCGGCCCUCGCUUUCCUCCUCCUCAGCCCGUAGCCGCCCCGCCUCCCAUCGCAGCGCCGAGCCAUCGCCAUCGCCGCACCGAGCCGCGCCACCACUACCGCGCACCGCAGCCGCUCCACCCGCCGCCCGAUCCGCCGCUGGAUCCCCGAGCCGCCGCCGGACUCACCGUCGCCCGAGCCCAGAUCCGCUCGACCCGACCCACCGGUUUUCUCGGUCAGGGAAUAAACCGACCCGGUCCGAUCCGGUUUUUUAGUUUUCGGUUUUUCUUUUAAGACCCGGUUUAUUAUUUUUAGUUUAGUUAUUUAGCAAAUGUUUGUUCGUUAAUGUUCUAUACUUUAAAGAUUCAUCAGAUUAGUGUUCGUAGCGGACGUUCGUCUGAUAGAUUUUUCUUUUUCUGUUUUAUUUUUCGGCCAGGGACCCAUCCAUGAAUAUUUUCUUCAUAGAUUAGCCCCUAAUCUUUAAAUCAUCACAACUUUUUACUCGUUUGUCCAAAUUCAACGAAACCAAUGCCAAAUUCUUCGUUAUGAUUCUAUCUAGAUAACCAACUUAACAAUAUUUUUGGAAGUUCAAAAUAUUAUUUCAAACAGAUUUGAGUUUGAACUUCUUCUGAUCAUAACUUGAGUUUCGUAAUUCUGAUUUGGUUGAUUCUUUUUGCAAAUCGAAGCUCUUGACCUAAACUUUCUGUUAAGAUCUAAUACACAUAACUUAAGUACUGUUAGAAAUUGUUUUCUAUUUGAAAGAGUUAUUUUCUUAUUCUUUUGACCUUUCUGAAUCCUUUUCUUUGGUUUUCUUUGCAUCUUCAUGCUUGAGUGCUUAUGUAUGCUAUUGUUUUUCUAUGAUAGAAAUUGUUAUCUAUUCGCUAGAUGGAUUCUUCUCUCUCUUUGAUCUUCAAUACAAUGUUCUCCUCCAUUUCUUGGAGUUCUAUUCGAUGUAAUCUUCUUUUGCGGUGCGUUUUGUUGAUAUUCGAUGAAUUUUGGAUUUUUAUCAGAUUAUCUAUGAUUAUUAUUUGAGUCUUCUCUCAACUCUUUUAUGCAUGAUUAAAAUAGCUUUGUAUUUCUCUCCAAUCUAUUGAUUUGGUUUGGCCAACUAUAUUGAUCUAUCUUGCAAUGGGAGAGGUGCUUUGUGAUGGGUUCAAUCUUGCAGUGUCCUCACUAGUGGCAGCAGGGGUAGCAAGACACGUAUUUGUAUUGUUGCCAUUAAGGAUGAAAAUAUGGGGGUUUUACCAUAUUUAUUGGAUCUAUCCCUCUACAUCAUGUCAUCUUGGUUAAGGCGUUACUCCAUACUUGUUAACUUAAUAGACUAGAUGCAUGCUGGAUAGCAGUUGAUGUGUGGAGUAGUAGUGGUAGAUGUAGGCAGGAGUCGGUCCACUUGUCACGGACAUGAUGCCUAUAUUCAUGAUCAUUGCCUUAGAUACCAUCAUAACUUUGCGCUUUUCUAUCAAUUACUCAACAGUAAUUUGUUUACCCACCAUAUGCUUUCUUCAAGAGAGAAGCCUCUAGUGAAAAAUAUGGCCCACAGGUGUAAUGCCCCGUUUUCAUUUGCUAUGCAUUUGUUCCUGAAGAAUGUUUAAAUAAAAGAAUAAGACAGAGUUAGUAAUUAUUAAAGUGAUGUAAGAAUAGGAAAAGGAAAAAAGAGACACACACACACGAAGAGAGAGAAAGAGAGAGUGCAUGUGAAAUAAAAUCAGCGUGGCAAAAAGAAAAUAAAAGAGAGGGUGUGUAUGCUAGUGUUUGAACCAUGGUCCUCUAGAUAUAUGAAGAAUUUAGAAACCAAUUUCUCUAGGUGCUACUUCUGGUACUAUACCAGGAAACAUAUUAGUUAGCUCCUCUAAAACAAGAGGAAAGAAAUUCUACAUGGGUCCAAGGCCCGGUCGAGCUCGGCCUGAUGGUCAGUCCCACACUGCGCCGCUAUAACCUGCGCCCAAAUCGCCUUUCUCUUCUUUUCCCCUCACCAAAAUAUUCCUCUCGUCUUAUCCAGUUAAGGCCGCAGCCUUCAGGUCGCUACCACUGCUGUGGGUUGCCAUCCCCAUGAGGUUGCUGUUGUUCCGACGCCUCUACUCGUCGAGGCCGUUGCCGGGCAGUUGUGGCUGCUAGGAAUUGUUGAUGCCAGUGGUACGUCCUAGUUUUCCUUCUCUAUGGUGAUGGCUAGGUAAGACUUAGGGAUUUGGGGCAGCAUCUCAUAGAUUGGAAUUAGAUAUGAGAACUGGAGAUGGAUUCCUGAAACACUUUGCAAAUUCGUUGGUGAGCCCAGUGCUUAUAAUUAUUUGGUUUUGCUUCCAGGUCAGACCUCCUCUAUGUUAGUUCCUUUGCUUAGCCAAAUAAGUUAGGGAAGAUAGCCCAUCCAUGAUGUUGUGAGAUGUGGACUGCCUUCUAGCAGAAAAACUAGAGUGUUGGGCAUCUCUGACUGUAAACUGAAUCUGGUUCAGUUAAAACCGCACUGACAAAUCUAGAUAGCCAGUUUCUAGGUGGAAAUUGAGUUAGUUAUGCUCACAAUUUCGAGUUGGCCUCUACAUAUCAGUUGCAAAGCAUGUUCCAAGGUUUCCGUGGAGUACUUACUUGCUUCAUUUGGAUGUACGGUUUGAGAGCAAUCGUCUAUUUGGUUACUGUCCAGAAACACAGUUUCGUGGGUACAGUAUUUUCAUAUGGAAGAUUAGGCCCUGUUGGAGGUGGAAUUAAAAUAAAGUUACAACAUAAAAUUUGUAGAGGAUAUUCUGCAGAUUCUUAAACAUAUAUUAUUUGUUAGAUUCCGUGUUAUACACUAAAUCCUAUGAAAUUAUUAAAAUGACUGUACUAUGACAGACAAAAUUUUAUGUUUGGACUUGGGUGAAUGUAAAUAGACUUAUACUCUCACAUUUUGUCGCCGUUGAUGAUGUGAGGAGUUAUAAUGUGAUAAAGUAUAUAUGAUCUAGGGUCUUGUGUGUAGGAGCGAUGCAAAAUUAUAUAUGCUUAUGUAAUCAGACCAUGCUUUAUUGUGACUGUGAUAUAUGCUUCAUGAUAGGUGGGGGUAUUUUGGAUUCGAACUGGUUGCCUCACAAUUUGUGCCCCGCGGUUGAGGCAAGUUCAUGAUGGGAUAACGACUUGCAUAAUCCCUACACUCUAUUUUAUUUAUGAUAUUUGUCCAUGUGAAUGAUGUUUAUUGUGAUGGAGGUGACGAUGACAAAGACAUGUUGAUUCAAGUACUUUGCUUGCAUUUGCAUAUUUGCAUUCAUGAUGAUAGAGAAAGAAAGAGUACCCUACCUUGGGUAGGCACAUUGAGCAUCCAUUGUUGGGUUGUGACCAGCUUUGGAGGCAACCUCCACGCGCUGGAGUGAGCGGAUGUCGAUGGGCGUCCAC
rnacentral:lncRNA from 1 species